GACGAACCGAGCGAACGUUGUUCGGAAUCACUGGGCUUAAAGGGCGCGUAGGCGGGUGCUCAAGUCCGGGGUGAAAUCCUCCAGCUCAACUGGAGAACUGCCUCGGAUACUGGGUGUCUCGAGGGUGGUAGGGGUAUGCGGAACUAUCGGUGGAGCGGUGAAAUGUGUUGAUAUUGGAAGGAACACCGGAGGCGAAAGCGGUGUACUGGGGCUGGUCUGACGCUGAGGCACGAAAGCCAGGGGAGCGAACGGG
rnacentral:rRNA from 1 species